rnacentral:rRNA from 1 species
GGGGAGUACGGUCGCAAGAUUAAAACUCAAAUGAAUUGACGGGGGCCCGCACAAGCGGUGGAGCAUGUGGUUUAAUUCGAUGCAACGCGAAGAACCUUACCUACUCUUGACAUCCAGAGAAUCCAGCGGAGACGCAGGAGUGCCUUCGGGAGCUCUGAGACAGGUGCUGCAUGGCUGUCGUCAGCUCGUGUUGUGAAAUGUUGGGUUAAGUCCCGCAACGAGCGCAACCCUUAUCCUUGUUUGCCAGCGAGUAAUGUCGGGAACUCCAGGGAGACUGCCGGUGAUAAACCGGAGGAAGGUGGGGACGACGUCAAGUCAUCAUGGCCCUUACGAGUAGGGCUACACACGUGCUACAAUGGCGCA